rnacentral:tRNA from 1 species
GGGGUCGUGGCGUAAGCUGGUAGCGCGGCAGGCUCCAGACCUGCAUGUUAGGGUUCAAAUCCCUACGAUCCCA